rnacentral:lncRNA from 1 species
GUGUUGGUGAGCAGAUAAUAUUGGAUUUUUCUUUUGUUUCGAUGUAUUUUCCACCAUCAAGGGAAUAUGUGCAGACCACCUAAUGGAAUUAUACAUAUUGGAGUUUUAUAUUUCGUUAUAUCGUUAAUAUUCGUCAAAAUACAACCAUAUUUCGGUCUCGUAUUACAUAUGUAUCAAUUUUCAUGUAUGAUGUAAACAUGAUCGAGUCGAAAUGUGCUCGAAGUGGUUGCUGUGAUUCGAAACAUCAUGGGUUCUUGUACAGAUGACCUGUUUCAACACGCGCUUGUAAAGUCACUUCAAAGACUGGACAAAGCCGGACUGGAAAUUAAAGAGAAGUAAUUCGAAGCUUUAUCGUCCAUCGUAUGUUGUAUAUUAAAAGAACAAGAACGACAUGUGUCAUGUCUAAACGGCGGUGUGUGUCUGUUUACUGGGUUACAACAACGGCAAUAACAAUGAAUCACUUAGCAUUUCAAGGAAAUAUAUUAAAUUAUAGAUAGAUGUCAUGCAUGACCCCAUGAGUUUUGUAUUUGAAUUGAAUCGCAAAAUCAUGCGUGCGUAUAAAAUUUGAGCAAAAAAGCACAAGGUGUUUGUUUGGCCAUAUGCCCAUCAUGUAGUAUGAAUAUUGAACACCGUUUUACUGUAUAUAGCACGUUUAAAACGUUAUUUCCUUGCAGGAUAAUCCUGAAUCCUUCACCGAUUACAUGCGUGGCAAAUGACGAAAAAUAAUUAUGUAAAAUAAUUAACCUAAUAUGUCUUUGGCCAUGAAUGCUGCUUUAUACAUCUGACAAUCUAUGUGCAUGACUGUAUGGCCCAAUGUAUGUUAAUUGUUUCAGGGAAAUUUUUGUUUUCAG